rnacentral:rRNA from 1 species
AGCGGCAAAAGCUCAAAUUUGAAAUCUGCGUAAGCCGAGUUGUAAUUUGAAGAUGGCUACUUUGGUAAUGGCUCUUGUCUAUGUUCCUUGGAACAGGACGUCACAGAGGGUGAGAAUCCCGUGCGAUGAGAUGUCCAUUACCGUGUAAAGUGCUUUCGAAGAGUCGAGUUGUUUGGGAAUGCAGCUCUAAGUGGGUGGUAAAUUCCAUCUAAAGCUAAAUAUUGGCGAGAGACCGAUAGCGAACAAGUACAGUGAUGGAAAGAUGAAAAGAACUUUGAAAAGAGAGUGAAAAAGUACGUGAAAUUGUUGAAAGGGAAGGGCUUGAGAUCAGACUUGGUAUUUUGUAUGGCUUGCUUUCGGGCGGGUCCUCUGCAGUUUACUGGGCCAGCAUCGGUUUGGGUGGCAGGAUAAUAGCAUAGGAAUGUGGCUCUACUUCGGUGGAGUGUUAUAGCCUUUGUUGAUACUGCCUGCCUAGACCGAGGACUGCGUCUUUUGACUAGGAUGCUGGCAUAAUGAUCCUAAGCCGCCCGUCUUGAA